AGAGUUUGAUCCUGGCUCAGGAUGAACGCUGGCGGCGUGCUUAACACAUGCAAGUCGAACGGUGAAGCCAAGCUUGCUUGGUGGAUCAGUGGCGAACGGGUGAGUAACACGUGAGCAACCUGCCCUGAACUCUGGGAUAAGCGCUGGAAACGGCGUCUAAUACUGGAUAUGAGCUGCGGAGGCAUCUUCGUGGUUGGAAAGAUUUUUCGGUUUGGGAUGGGCUCGCGGCCUAUCAGCUUGUUGGUGAGGUAAUGGCUCACCAAGGCGUCGACGGGUAGCCGGCCUGAGAGGGUGACCGGCCACACUGGGACUGAGACACGGCCCAGACUCCUACGGGAGGCAGCAGUGGGGAAUAUUGCACAAUGGGCGGAAGCCUGAUGCAGCAACGCCGCGUGAGGGAUGACGGCCUUCGGGUUGUAAACCUCUUUUAGCAGGGAAGAAGCGAAAGUGACGGUACCUGCAGAAAAAGCGCCGGCUAACUACGUGCCAGCAGCCGCGGUAAUACGUAGGGCGCAAGCGUUAUCCGGAAUUAUUGGGCGUAAAGAGCUCGUAGGCGGUUUGUCGCGUCUGCUGUGAAAACCCGAGGCUCAACCUCGGGCCUGCAGUGGGUACGGGCAGACUAGAGUGCGGUAGGGGAGAUUGGAAUUCCUGGUGUAGCGGUGGAAUGCGCAGAUAUCAGGAGGAACACCGAUGGCGAAGGCAGAUCUCUGGGCCGUAACUGACGCUGAGGAGCGAAAGGGUGGGGAGCAAACAGGCUUAGAUACCCUGGUAGUCCACCCCGUAAACGUUGGGAACUAGUUGUGGGGUCCAUUCCACGGAUUCCGUGACGCAGCUAACGCAUUAAGUUCCCCGCCUGGGGAGUACGGCCGCAAGGCUAAAACUCAAAGGAAUUGACGGGGACCCGCACAAGCGGCGGAGCAUGCGGAUUAAUUCGAUGCAACGCGAAGAACCUUACCAAGGCUUGACAUACACGAGAACGCUGCAGAAAUGUAGAACUCUUUGGACACUCGUGAACAGGUGGUGCAUGGUUGUCGUCAGCUCGUGUCGUGAGAUGUUGGGUUAAGUCCCGCAACGAGCGCAACCCUCGUUCUAUGUUGCCAGCACGUAAUGGUGGGAACUCAUGGGAUACUGCCGGGGUCAACUCGGAGGAAGGUGGGGAUGACGUCAAAUCAUCAUGCCCCUUAUGUCUUGGGCUUCACGCAUGCUACAAUGGCCGGUACAAAGGGCUGCAAUACCGCGAGGUGGAGCGAAUCCCAAAAAGCCGGUCCCAGUUCGGAUUGAGGUCUGCAACUCGACCUCAUGAAGUCGGAGUCGCUAGUAAUCGCAGAUCAGCAACGCUGCGGUGAAUACGUUCCCGGGUCUUGUACACACCGCCCGUCAAGUCAUGAAAGUCGGUAACACCUGAAGCCGGUGGCCCAACCCUUGUGGAGGGAGCCGUCGAAGGUGGGAUCGGUAAUUAGGACUAAGUCGUAACAAGGUAGCCGUA
rnacentral:rRNA from 1 species